rnacentral:rRNA from 1 species
GACGAACGCUGGCGGCGUGCUUAACACAUGCAAGUCGAACGAUGAAGCCCUUCGGGGUGGAUUAGUGGCGAACGGGUGAGUAACACGUGGGCAAUCUGCCCUUCACUCUGGGACAAGCCCUGGAAACGGGGUCUAAUACCGGAUACGAGGUUCGCAGGCAUCUGUGAACUUGGAAAGCUCCGGCGGUGAAGGAUGAGCCCGCGGCCUAUCAGCUUGUUGGUGAGGUAAUGGCUCACCAAGGCGACGACGGGUAGCCGGCCUGAGAGGGCGACCGGCCACACUGGGACUGAGACACGGCCCAGACUCCUACGGGAGGCAGCAGUGGGGAAUAUUGCACAAUGGGCGAAAGCCUGAUGCAGCGACGCCGCGUGAGGGAUGACGGCCUUCGGGUUGUAAACCUCUUUCAGCAGGGAAGAAGCGAAAGUGACGGUACCUGCAGAAGAAGCGCCGGCUAACUACGUGCCAGCCGCCGCCGUAAGAC